GGAAUCUUCGGCAAUGGGGGCAACCCUAACCGAGCAACGCCGCGUGAGUGAAGAAGGUUUUCGGAUCGUAAAGCUCUGUUGUUGGUGAAGAAGGAUAGAGGCAGUAACUGGUCUUUAUUUGACGGUAAUCAACCAGAAAGUCACGGCUAACUACGUGCCAG
rnacentral:rRNA from 1 species